GUGCCUCUAAUCGAAUGAGGCCGCUGUGGCAGACGACUGUGACCUCUUCUGAAGACGAUGGUGGGCUCUUGCGCAGCAUUUGGCUGCGCAAAUCGCGUGAAGCAAACACCGGGGAUAACUUUUCACGUGUUUCCCAAAGACUGCGAAUUGCGCAGUGCAUGGGAGCGCGCUGUGAGGCGAGAAGGUUGGACUCCGAAGAAGAAUGACGUCUUGUGUUCAACGCACUUUGAAGCAGACUGCUUCGAUAGAACAGGGCAAACAACGAGACUACGAGCUGGUAGCAUCCCUACCAAGUUUGCAGCGUUUCCAGCGCACCUACAAAA